rnacentral:rRNA from 1 species
AAUGAACGCUGGCGGCGUGCCUAAUACAUGCAAGUAGAACGGAGUGGCGCACGGGUGAGUAAUAUGUAGCUAAUCUGCCCCUUGCUGGAGGACAACAGUUAGAAAUGACUGCUAAUACUCCAUAGCAAGUGAUGAGACUAUAUCGUAUCAGCUAGUCGGUGGGGUAACGGCCUACCGAGGGUAUGACGCGUAACUGGUCAGAGAGGCUGAGCAGUCACAUUGGAACUGAGACACGGUCCAAACUCCUACGGGAGGGAGCAGUAGGGAAUAUUGCGAAAUGGGGGAAACCCUGACGCAUCAACGCCGCGUGGAGGAUGACACUUUUCGGAGCGUAAACUCCUUGUGUUAGGGAAGCGGUACCUAACGAAUAAGCAACGGCUAACUCCGUGCCAGCAGCCGCGGUAAUUC